UACGGGGGGGGUAAGCGUUGUUCGGAAUUACUGGGCGUAAAGGGCUCGUAGGCGGCCAACUAAGUCAUACGUGAAAUCCCUCGGCUUAACUGGGGAACUGCGUGUGAUACUGGAUGGCUUGGAUGUGGGAGAGGGAUGCGGAAUUCCAGGUGUAGCGGUGAAAUGCGUAGAUAUCUGGAGGAACACCGGUGGCGAAGGCGGCAUCCUGGACCAUUAUUGACGCUGAGGAGCGAAAGCCAGGGGAGCAAACGGG
rnacentral:rRNA from 1 species